rnacentral:rRNA from 1 species
GUAUGUAACCUACCUUGUUCAGGGGGAUAGCCUCUCGAAUGAGAGAUUAAUACCGCAUAACAUUACUUGAAUGGCAUCGUUUAAUGAUCAAAUAUUUAUGGGAACAAGAUGGGCAUGCGUAACAUUAGCUAGUUGGUAGGGUAACGGCUUACCAAGGCUACGAUGUUUAGGGGAUCUGAGAGGAUGACCCCCCACACUGGUACUGAGACACGGACCAGACUCCUACGGGAGGCAGCAGUAAGGAAUAUUGGUCAAUGGACGGAAUUCUGAACCACCCAUGCCGCGUGCAGGAAAACGGCCCUAUGGGUUGUAAACUGCUUUUAUACUGGAAUAAACCUUGAUACGUGUAUCAAGCUGAAUGUACAGUAAGAAUAAGGAUCGGCUAACUCCGUGCCAGCAGCCGCGGUAAUACGGAGGAUCCAAGCGUUAUCCGGAUUUAUUGGGUUUAAAGGGUGCGUAGGUGGUUUUUUAAGUCAGGGGUGAAAGACGGCAGCUUAACUGUCGCAGUGCCUUUGAUACUGAAGAACUUGAAUCCACUAGAGGUAGGCGGAAUGUGACAAGUAGCGGUGAAAUGCAUAGAUAUGUCUCAGAACACCAAUUGCGAAGGCAGCUUACUAUGGUGUUAUUGACACUGAGGCACGAAAGCGUGAGGAUCAAACAGGAUUAGAUACCCUGGUAGUCCACGCCCCUAACGAUGAAUACUCGAUGUUGGCGAUAUACGGUCAGCGUCUAAGCGAAAGCGU